UUGGUGCUACCUCUUUUCUUUUGUUUGUUAUUAUCUUUGAAUAAGAGGAUUGAGAGUUUCUGAAUAUUGUGAAGUGAAUUAUGGAAUGGAAAUGUGAUUGAUAUUAUUUGAGAAGAAGAAAGAUUGAAUGCUGAAAUCUGAUUGUAGUUCAGCAGAGAGAAUGAAUCUGUGUUUGUGUGAAACACCGUAAUGUGAAUGGCAGUUCUGUGUGAAGAAUUCCAAUGAUUGGAACGAGGGUAAUUGUGUACUGAAAGUUGUAAGGGUGCGGUAUUACAGUUGGAGAUUAUGAGGGUGAAUAUAUUGGUGGAAAUAGCAGUUAUUGGUAUGACUGAAUUGUUGUAAGGAAGAGACUGAUAAGGUGAAG
rnacentral:lncRNA from 1 species